rnacentral:snoRNA from 1 species
GUUAUAGAUGAUGAUGAGAUGGUUCACUUCAUCCUAAACGGUCUUGAUUUUGAUUACAAUCCCUUUGCAUCUUCGAUGCUUGGCCGUGUUGGUUUUCUCUCUUUGAGCGAGUUGUAUUCCCAGCUACUUACAUAUGAUC